rnacentral:rRNA from 1 species
UACGUAGGUGGCAAGCGUUGUCCGGAUUUAUUGGGCGUAAAGCGCGCGCAGGUGGUGCGGUAAGUCUGCCGUGAAAUCUCCCGGCUCAACUGGGAGGGGGCGGUGGAGACUGCCGGACUGGAGGGACCUAGGAGGCCGGUGGAAUUCCCGGUGGAGUGGUGAAAUGCGUAGAGAUCCGGAGGAACACCAGUGGCGAAGGCGGCUCACUGGCUCGGUACUGACGCUGAGGUGCGAAAGCGUGGGGAGCAAACAGGG